GACGAACGCUGGCGGCGUGCCUAAUACAUGCAAGUCGAGCGGACGGAUGGGAGCUUGCUCCCAGACCGUCAGCGGCGGACGGGUGAGUAACACGUGGGCAACCUGCCUGUAAGACUGGGAUAACUCCGGGAAACCGGGGCUAAUACCGGAUAACUCUUUCCCUCACAUGAGGGAAAGCUGAAAGAUGGCAUCUCGCUAUCACUUACAGAUGGGCCCGCGGCGCAUUAGCUAGUUGGUGAGGUAACGGCUCACCAAGGCGACGAUGCGUAGCCGACCUGAGAGGGUGAUCGGACACACUGGGACUGAGACACGGCCCAGACUCCUACGGGAGGCAGCAGUAGGGAAUCUUCCGCAAUGGACGAAAGUCUGACGGAGCAACGCCGCGUGAGUGAUGAAGGUUUUCGGAUCGUAAAACUCUGUUGUCAGGGAAGAACAAGUACCGGAGUAACUGCCGGUACCUUGACGGUACCUGACCAGAAAGCCACGGCUAACUACGUG
rnacentral:rRNA from 1 species